GGAUAAGAAGCAUAAGUGGUAUAUGCGCUCGCCUGUUAAGCGAAAGAUAGAGAGUUCGAACCUCUCCUUGUCCG
rnacentral:tRNA from 1 species